rnacentral:rRNA from 1 species
GUCCUGGCUCNGGAUGAACGCUGACGGAAUGCUUAACACAUGCAAGUCUACUUGAAGCAACUUCGGUUGUGGAUGGUGGCGGACGGGUGAGUAACGCGUAAAGAACUUGCCCCUUAGUCUGGGACAACUGCUGGAAACGACAGCUAAUACUGGAUAUUAUGAGACCAAGGCAUCUUGGACUUAUGAAAGUUAUAUGCGCUAGGGGAGAGCUUUGCGUCCUAUUAGCUAGUUGGUGAGGUAAUGGCUCACCAAGGCGACGAUAGGUAGCCGGCCUGAGAGGGUGAACGGCCACAAGGGGACUGAGACACGGCCCUUACUCCUACGGGAGGCAGCAGUGGGGAAUAUUGGACAAUGGACCAAAAGUCUGAUCCAGCAAUUCUGUGUGCUCGAUGAAGGCCUUCGGGUUGUAAAGAGCUUUAAGUAGGGAAGAAGAAAGUGACGGUACCUACAGAAUAAGCGACGGCUAAAUACGUGCCAGCAGCCGCGGUAAUACGUAUGUCGCGAGCGUUAUCCGGAAUUAUUGGGCAUAAAGGGCGUCUAGGCGGUUUAGAAAGUCUGAUGUGAAAAUGCGGAGCUCAACUCCGUAUUGCGUUGGAAACUACUAGACUAGAGUAUUGGAGAGGUAAGCGGAACUACAAGUGUAGAGGUGAAAUUCGUAGAUAUUUGUAGGAAUGCCAAUUGGGAAGCCAGCUUACUGGACAAAUACUGCCGCUGAAGCGCGAAAGCUAGGGGAGCAAACAGGAUUAGAUACCCUGGGUAGUCCUAGCUGUAAACGAUGAUCACUGGGUGUGGGGGGUCGAACCUCCGUGCCGAAGUUAAUGCGAUAAGUGAUCCCGCCUGGGGAGUACGUUCGCAAGAAUGAAACUCAAAGGAAUUGACGG